AACCUUGCACAGUGGCAGUAUCAUAGCCAAUGAGAUUUAUCUGAGGCACACUUAUUGCUAAUUGAAAACUUUUCCCAAUACCCUGCUGUGAUGACUUGCAAUAUAGUCAGCAUUGGCAAUUUUUGACAGUCUCUGCAGAGA
rnacentral:snRNA from 1 species